AGACUUUGAUCCUGGCUCAGAUUGAACGCUGGCGGAAUGCUUUACACAUGCAAGUCGAACGGCAGCACGGUAGCUCGCUCCUGGUGGCGAGUGGCGAACGGGUGAGUAAUGCGUCGGAACGUACCGAGUAAUGGGGGAUAACGCGGCGAAAGUCGCGCUAAUACCGCAUACGCCCUGAGGGGGAAAGCGGGGGAUCGCAAGACCUCGCGUUAUUCGAGCGGCCGACGUCUGAUUAGCUAGUUGGUGGGGUAAAGGCUCACCAAGGCGACGAUCAGUAGCGGGUCUGAGAGGAUGAUCCGCCACACUGGGACUGAGACACGGCCCAGACUCCUACGGGAGGCAGCAGUGGGGAAUUUUGGGCAAUGGGGGCAACCCUGAUCCAGCCAUUCCGCGUGAGUGAAGAAGGCCUUCGGGUUGUAAAGCUCUUUCAGCUGGAAAGAAACGCUCCGGACGAAUAUCCCGGGGUAAUGACGGUACCAGCAGAAGAAGCACCGGCUAGCUACGUGCCAGCAGCCGCGGUAAUACGUAGGGUGCGAGCGUUAAUCGGAAUUACUGGGCGUAAAGCGUGCG
rnacentral:rRNA from 1 species